CCUACGGGAGACAGCAGUGGGGAAUAUUGCGCAAUGGGCGAAAGCCUGACGCAGCGACGCCGCGUGAGGGAUGAAGGUCUUCGGAUCGUAAACUUCUGUUAGCAGGGAAGAAUGGUGACUGUGCUAAUCAGCAGAGCAUCGACGGUAUCCGCAACGGAAGCACCGGCUAACUGCGUGCCAGAAGCCGCGGUCAUACGGAGGGUGCGAGCGUUGAUCGGAAUUACUGGGCGUAAAGGGCUCGUAGGCGGGAAGUCAAGUCAGGUGUGAAAUCCCCGCGCUGAACGUGUGGACUGCCUUUGAAACUGGCAAACUGGAGUGAAGGAGAGGAUAGUGGAAUUCCAGGUGUAGGGGUGAAAUGCGUAGAUAUCUGGAGGAACAUCAGUGGCGAAGGCGACUAUCUGGCACAUAACUGACGCUGAGGAGCGAAAGCGUGGGUAGCAAACAGGAUUAGAUACCCGAGUAGUC
rnacentral:rRNA from 1 species